rnacentral:rRNA from 1 species
AUUGAACGCUGGCGGCAUGCUUUACACAUGCAAGUCGAACGGCAGCACGGGGGCGAACCCUGGUGGCGAGUGGCGAACGGGUGAGUAAUGCAUCGGAACGUAUCCUUAAGUGGGGGAGUAACGCAUCGAAAGAUGCGCUAAUACCGCAUAAUCUCUGAGGAGAAAAGCAGGGGAUCGCAAGACCUUGCGCUUUUGGAGCGGCCGAUGUCUGAUUAGUCAGUUGGUGAGGUAAAGGACUUACCAAGGCUUCGAUCAGUAGCUGGUCUGAGAGGACGACCAGCCACACUGGGACUGAGACACGGCCCAGACUCCUACGGGAGGCAGCAGUGGGGAAUUUUGGACAAUAGGGGGAACCCUGAUCCAGCCAUGCCGCGUGAGUGAAGAA